rnacentral:lncRNA from 1 species
GAAUUUCUAACAGCGGUAAACUUCUGUUGCCUUUACUUAAAGUUAAAUGAUUAUGUCUCUUUCUCAGAUACUAUAAGCAGAACGUCAACUAUAUGUGGUGUAUGGAAUGAUUGUAAGGGGUAUAAGUAAUUUACCUCACUUCAUAGUUCAUUUUGUAAAUGAUACGUUUUUGUAAGUUUGUUACAUACUAAUAGCAACGGGUGAACUAUAUUUGGUGCAUGCAAGUAUUGUAAGGUGUACAUGUCUUUCUGGCCAUGUUCAUCUGCCCAUGACCUCAUCAUAUAUUAUUAAUGAUUAUUUUAAGUUUUAUGUGAUACUUGUAAAAACGUUAUUUUUCUGACUUUAAAUAUAAAUUAAUAAUAAAGUAAGACAGGCUAGAC